rnacentral:miRNA from 5 species
UGAGACCUCUGGGUUCUGAGC